UACGUAGGGGGCUAGCGUUGUCCGGAAUCAUUGGGCGUAAAGCGCGUGUAGGCGGUCCGGUAAGUCCGCUGUGAAAGUCGGGGGCUCAACCCUCGGAUGCCGGUGGAUACUGUCGGGCUUGAGUACGGAAGAGGCGAGUGGAAUUCCUGGUGUAGCGGUGAAAUGCGCAGAUAUCAGGAGGAACACCAAUUGCGAAGGCAGCUCGCUGGGACGUUACUGACGCUGAGACGCGAAAGCGUGGGGAGCAAACAGGAUUAGAAACCCGU
rnacentral:rRNA from 1 species